rnacentral:rRNA from 1 species
UCGCUAGUAAUCGCAGAUCAGAAUGCUGCGGUGAAUACGUUCCCGGGUCUUGUACACACCGCCCGUCACACCAUGGGAGUCGGAAAUGCCCGAAGUCGGUGACCCAACCGUUUACGGAGGGAGCUGCCGAAGGCAGGUCUGGUGACUGGGGUGAAGUCGUAACAAGGUAAC